GCGGGUGUGGUGAAAUUUGGUAGACGCACGGCACUCAAAAUGCCGCGGUUCACGCCGUGUCGGUUCGAGUCCGACCACCCGCACCA
rnacentral:tRNA from 1 species